AAGAGUCCAGUCCCAGUUAUAAUCACCAUCAGAAGAGAAAACGUCUGUGCAUUCAAUCAGUUUCUAAUUGCCAUCUCAGGUGAAGGCUAGACCCAUAUCGUGCUCUGUGGAUUUCUAAGUUUUUAUAUGCACUUCAUCAGCAGUACUGUAGAAACUGCAGCUGGCAAUGUAAGUCCCUAGAAAGAGAACAUCACACUCAGGGCACUCUUGCCACUCUGAUAGCCACAUCUUUUUGAAGACAUGGUAAAAGUCUGGGGUAAAAUAGUGAUUGUUCUCUAGCAAAAAUCGAGCACCAGCCUACCCCUGAAGUAUUUUGAGCCUUUCGCAUACAAAAUGCAAAUUACAAUACCAAAGUCAUUUGAUGUGGCCAAAUGGGUGGGGAUUCUUGGGAUUAAGCACCCCAUCUUCAAAGCUGCAUUCUUCUUCAGGUACCUGAGGCAAUGUCUGGGGUUAUUACCUGGAAACUCAUUGAGGUACCAACAAAUGCUAAAAGGAGAGAACAUUGGUAGAACCG
rnacentral:antisense_RNA from 1 species